UUUCCGUUGGUGAACCAGCGGAGGGAUCAUUACAGAGUUGCAAAACUCCCAAACCAUUGUGAACGUUACCUAUCCCGUUGCUUCGGCGGGCGGCCCGGGCCCCGCGCCCGGCGCUCCCCGGGCCGCCGUGGGCGCCCGCCGGAGGUAAACCAAACCCUUGGAUUGAAUGGCCUCUCUGAGUCUUCUGUACUGAAUCAGACAAAACUUUCAACAACGGACCUCUUGGUUCUG
rnacentral:misc_RNA from 1 species